CAACCCUUAAGCCUAGCUUAGUGUUGGGAGUCUACGGUAAAACGUAGUUCCUUAAAGACGAUGGCAGAGCUCGAUCGAUCUCUCAGCGUAGUAAUUUUCUCUCGUUGUGGAAGACGGUCGCGCGAUAGCCAACAAACCUACUAUAUUUUCUAGUGG
rnacentral:misc_RNA from 1 species